rnacentral:rRNA from 1 species
AACGAACGCUGGCGGCGUGGAUAAGACAUGCAAGUCGAACGAGAGAAUUGCUAGCUUGCUAAUAAUUCUCUAGUGGCGCACGGGUGAGUAACACGUGAGUAACCUGCCCCCGAGAGCGGGAUAGCCCUGGGAAACUGGGAUUAAUACCGCAUAGUAUCGAAAGAUUAAAGCAGCAAUGCGCUUGGGGAUGGGCUCGCGGCCUAUUAGUUAGUUGGUGAGGUAACGGCUCACCAAGGCGAUGACGGGUAGCCGGUCUGAGAGGAUGUCCGGCCACACUGGAACUGAGACACGGUCCAGACACCUACGGGUGGCAGCAGUCGAGAAUCAUUCACAAUGGGGGAAACCCUGAUGGUGCGACGCCGCGUGGGGGAAUGAAGGUCUUCGGAUUGUAAACCCCUGUCAUGUGGGAGCAAAUUAAAAAGAUAGUACCACAAGAGGAAGAGACGGCUAACUCUGUGCCAGCAGCCGCGGUAAUACAGAGGUCUCAAGCGUUGUUCGGAAUCACUGGGCGUAAAGCGUGCGUAGGCUGUUUCGUAAGUCGUGUGUGAAAGGCGCGGGCUCAACCCGCGGACGGCACAUGAUACUGCGAGACUAGAGUAAUGGAGGGGGAACCGGAAUUCUCGGUGUAGCAGUGAAAUGCGUAGAUAUCGAGAGGAACACUCGUGGCGAAGGCGGGUUCCUGGACAUUAACUGACGCUGAGGCACGAAGGCCAGGGGAGCGAAAGGGAUUAGAUACCCCUGUAGUCCUGGCAGUAAACGGUGCACGCUUGGUGUGCGGGGAAUCGACCCCCUGCGUGCCGGAGCUAACGCGUUAAGCGUGCCGCCUGGGGAGUACGGUCGCAAGAUUAAAACUCAAAGAAAUUGACGGGGACCCGCACAAGCGGUGGAGUAUGUGGCUUAAUUCGAUGCAACGCGAAGAACCUUACCUGGGCUUGACAUGUAAUGAACAACAUGUGAAAGCAUGCGACUCUUCGGAGGCGUUACACAGGUGCUGCAUGGCCGUCGUCAGCUCGUGUCGUGAGAUGUUUGGUUAAGUCCAGCAACGAGCGCAACCCCUGUUGCCAGUUACCAGCACGUGAAGGUGGGGACUCUGGCGAGACUGCCCAGAUCAACUGGGAGGAAGGUGGGGACGACGUCAGGUCAGUAUGGCCCUUAUGCCCAGGGCUGCACACGUACUACAAUGCCCAGUACAGAGGGGGCCGAAGCCGCGAGGCGGAGGAAAUCCUAAAAACUGGGCCCAGUUCGGACUGUAGGCUGCAACCCGCCUACACGAAGCCGGAAUCGCUAGUAAUGGCGCAUCAGCUACGGCGCCGUGAAUACGUUCCCGGGUCU